rnacentral:lncRNA from 1 species
UAAUUGUUCCGGAAAAACUUAAUAAAUGCUCUUUGGUUUGCAAAGAAAAAGAUGUUUACGGCAACGAGUGAUGGGCCCCCUUUGGUUAUGUUAUCAUAAUGUCAUAAGGUGUUCACAUCGUGCCAUAUGAAUUAUGAUCUAUCGCGACUUUUUCUUAGUCUUAGUCAGAGGCGGAGGUACGCUGGUCUUAGUGUUUUCUUGUUCGUUUGCAUGAAAAGGAUGAAGUAACUAUAUUAAGGUCCACUGUCUACCCUUGGUUAUGUUUGAGAAUUGGAAAUGGCCAAACCUGUCGGUUUUGGAGCGAUAAUUGGAGUCCGUUUGGUUGCAUCUCUGACUUCUUGAACCUUCCUCCAUCCUCUCGUCUGGGAAUCUCAAGAACCGCUACUCUGUCAGACCUGAAUGAGAAUGGAAAUUGGCUGCUUCAUGCAGCAAGAUCGGAGGAGCAAGUUCAGAUUCAAGUAUACUUAUCAAGAUACUUAUCAACUAUCUUUCUCUCGGAGGAGGAAGACCAGUAUGAGUGGAUAAUCGAUGGUUCAAGGAGCACUACUUUUUCGACAGGAGCAGUCUACAGAGAGCUUAAACAUCACAAUCCGGUGGUGAGUUGGAGCAAGACAGUGUGGUGUCCAAGGGGUACCCCUAAACACAGCUUCCUUGCGUGGCUGAUGAACCGCUGCCCCACUAGAGACCGCCUGCUAUCCUGGGGGCUUAAUACACUCUCUUCCUGCCUUCUCUGCAACUCCGCUGACAAAAGCCGUAAUCAUCUCUUUUUUUACUGUCUUUAUUUUGACAGAUCUGGAACAUAAUUGGAACUAGAUCAGUUCUUUAUGCAUCUCCUUUGUGGGACCAGACUCUCUCUGCUCUUCAACAUCUGUCGGGACCGAGACAUGCAAAACUCCUAGUUCUCUUCGCGUGGCAGUGCACCAUCUAUCUCAUCUGGUCAGAAAGGAACGCUCGGUUGCAUAUAAGCAUCUAUCAGCCUCCAGACUCAAUCAUCUCCUCCAUUGCAGCUUACAUCAAAACAAAAAUAGCGGCGAUCAUCUUCAAUCUUCCAAUUCUGGUAUCGGUGAUCUCUAUCUUUCUGACUUCCUACUGGAUCAAAAUAUUUCCCACUUGAGCUUUUCUAAAUUGUGGUUCAAUUAUAUGGAACUAUGGAUUUGUGUUUGUAUUAAUGGACAAGGUCCACGAAACUGUCCGCUGGACCGAAGUCUUUUGUAAUUUGCUUUAUGUUUUAAAUAGAAC